GAUGAACGUUGGCGGCGUGCCUAAUACAUGCAAGUCGAACGAAGACUGUAGUAAUACUGUCUUAGUGGCGAACGGGUGAGUAACGCGUGGGUGACCUGCCCCGAAGUGUGGGAUAACAGUUCGAAAGGAUUGCUAAUACUGCAUAAUAUCCAAGAGAUUAGACGCUUUUGGAUUAAAGGAGUAAUUCGCUUCGGGAGGGGCCCGCGUCCCAUCAGCUAGUUGGUAAGGUAAUGGCUUACCAAGGCGAUGACGGGUAGGGGACCUGAGAGGGUGGCCCCCCACAAUGGAACUGAAACACGGUCCAUACACCUACGGGUGGCAGCAGUAGGGAAUAUUAGUAAUGGGCGAAAGCCUGAACUAGCAACGCCGCGUGUGCGAAGAAGGCCUCGGUUGUAAAGCACUUUUGUAGAGGAUGAGGAAGGACGGUACGUCUCAGAAUAAGUCUCGGUCUAACUACGUG
rnacentral:rRNA from 1 species